UUCUUCUGAAAAAGAAACGAACCACCUCGAAGCCGAUGAGGGGAAAUUACUCCGACCGCUGAAAGAAAGGCUAUGUUGGGGGAUUUGCAUAUUUGAUGCGCUAAUUUCCCUGAUGUAUUUAAAUAUGGCUGCACGUAGCCGAUAGGCUUGCUACGUCAUUGGACGUGACCUCAUUGUAAAAUCUAAACGUGAAUUCGUUUUAGUCAAACUCAAGUGCUAGCGAUAAUUGAGAACUGUGAAGAAUAAGAAUUAGGCAACAUUAUUUGGAAGCGUUCAGAAUCGCAAAUUAGGAAACGCUGUGUUCAAAAUCUGAUCCUGUUCACUAAAUAAUAAUAAUUAUUAAUAAUAAUAAAAAAACAACAAUGCAGAAAUAGCCUAUGCAUGGUGUGAAUUGCUGAGGUUUUUUUUUCUUUCUUUUUUUUGGGGGGUGGGGGGGGGAUGACCCCCUUUAAUUAAGGUUUGAAUUAAAUUAAGGUUUGAAGCCCCCAUCAUUGAAGGUCAAAACAAAAGGUCAUGGGUGCAUAUUCUUUGUUAUAGGCUAUACGUAUUUCAGAUUUGAGUAGAAGUAAAUCAGUGCGCGUAUUUAAAUAUAAUGCUGGCGAACAGCAAUCUCAGUCACCAGCUGAGGUAACUAUAGCAACGGUAUGCAGCACUUUUUGUUAGGAUCAUCAUUGGAUAGGACACUGACAAAAUAUAAUAUUAUUAUUUCUGACUUCAUUAUGAAUUCGCAUUUCAAAAGUAUGAUGUAUUAUUUAAAAAACUAGUUUAGACAGUUGCAAUUGUAACUAGAAGCGCAAAAAGAGAACCUACUGUAUAGCCUAUAUAAUUCGCACACUGCAAAUAUUAUUACAUGUAGCCUAUAGGCCUAUACACUCAUGGCAAUGUUAUAUAAGGCUCUAUUCUGUGCCUGCACGCGCACUCGCACGUGGGGUUAUAGUGGGUUUAAAUUGUAAAUUUAAUUUAUUUCUUUCUUUCUUGCUAUUAUGUAUAACUGUGCAAGUUUUCUCCGAACUAAUGAUGUCCUCUCAGUGUCAGAUGACCAUUGCGUUCCGUCAGUCAAAACGUGUUGGGCAGAAGCGCUCGGAGCAAAUUCAUUACCGCAGUCAGUCCGUAACCUGGUCUGGGAACUUGGGGCUAGUCCACGCCAAUAGAGGAACAAUGCCUCCUCAGUUCAAGUCCAACAAAAGACCUGGCGAACUUGUUUGAAUUUCAGAGCACGUCCUUUCUUUCACAGAGAGGACUGCCCCCUCCCGAACACCCUUCAUGAAAAAAAAAGAAAGAAAGAAAAGGAAAGAAAGGGGGGGAAAACAUGCCGACCUUCUCUGCUCAACAGUGCACUUUUCUAUUUGGUGCUGCAGACAAAUAGGUUAUGGGAAACUUCUCAACCCCUCCUCUCUCUCUCUCCCCCCCUCUCACUGGCUCUCGCUUAUACGGUAGCUGUCGUUCUCGUGCGCUUGGACUGUGCUCUUGUGAGAAUCAGAGCCGCUGAGACACGCGUAAUGAACUGAGUAUUAGCGGCAAUUUUAAAUCGAAAGCGCUCUGUGCACGCCGGUUUCUUACCAACAGCAGGAGUUGCAUCUGGUCACGUCGACUUCGGCAUAAUAAUAAAAAAAAACAACAAAAAAAAAAACCUUUGCUCAAGGCUGAAGGAAAAUGUGACCAUCACUUACCCACUGGAAUUGAGCAGGAGGAAACUGGCAUCAAUUUUAUCAAAUGAUUAACCAACAUGAAUGAUGCUUCUGAGGAACUGCGUUGCUCUUUGAAGUGAGGAAGGAAGGUUGAGAGAGCUCUCUCUCCAGCACAUGCCUCCCUCAUUAGUGUCCAGCAGAUGAAGACGCAAGGUCACAAACCCAAUGAGCUGCCCAUUUCAUUCAGUUUUCCCGAAAUGGAAAGAUGACCACUGUGACCUAAUGUUGCAGUACGGUCUGACAGCACAUUGUACACAACAUAUAAAGUAGCUUGAAUAACCCUUGAACCUUGUGUGGAGUGCAUUAUUUUUUAUGAAAUUGCUAUAGUGUCCAACUUUUCAACAUGCUUGUAGAUUUUAUUCAUUCAAUAAAUUGUGAAUUUUCCUAAAAAAAAAAAAAAAAAAAAAAAAAAGGGAACAGGUCUUGUGAUUUAUUUGCUGAACUGUGGGUGAUGAAAUAUUUAAUAUCCUGGGUAUUAAAAUGAUCAGUCUCGGAUCCAUUGAGAGGGUUGACAUGGUUGAAUCAGUACCACACUAAGGAACUGCUGCACAGGGAAUUAUUGCUUCUGUCUGAACAUGUCACCUCUACAAUAUUUCUAUGAUUAUAAUGUACAAUUAUCCUUUCUUUUCGUUUUCUCUGGCUUGUCAUUGUUGAAACAUUUCACACACACAAUAUGAAAGAACAAUAAAGUCUAGACUC